rnacentral:rRNA from 1 species
UACGAACCGUCCAAACGUUAUUCGGAAUCACUGGGCUUACAGGGUGCGUAGGCGGCUUAGCAAGUCAGGUGUGAAAGCCCCCGGCUCAACCGGGGAACUGCGCUUGAAACUGCUGAGCUCGAGUCAGCUAGAGGUACACGGAACUUCCAGUGGAGCGGUGAAAUGUGUUGAUAUUGGAAGGAACACCGGAGGCGAAAGCGGUGUACUGGGGCUGGUCUGACGCUGAGGCACGAAAGCCAGGGGAGCGAACGGG